rnacentral:misc_RNA from 1 species
AGAAAAGUUAGGGUGAUUUCUCAAUGCUGGAUUUUAUGUAGUAGAAAAAGGAUUACCAACUGGUUUCUGAUUAUAAUUUCUAACAAAAUCAACUUGCACAUUUCCAAACUCUUGCCCAUAAGAAGGAAAAUCAUUGACACAAUGUAUAUUUCCUGGAGCAACAUCUUCUGUAUGACUAGAUCCUCUAAAUGAAGAAUCAACCUUCAUGCUUAACUUAUCUAUUUUUCUCGUCAAAGCAUCAAAUUUGGCAUUGAACAUACUCAUGGCAUCUAACUUAUAUACACCAGCUGAUGGCUUUUUCAUUUCAUUCCUUUCACAACUCCAUUGAUAAUUGUUGUGAGCAAUUUUAUCUAAUGCUGAAUAAGCUUCAUCUUCUGACUUCUCCAUAAGAUCCCCUCCUGAAGAUGCAUCAAUUAUACUUCUAAUUGUUAGAGAAACACCAUUGUAGAAAUGCUGGACUAGCAUCCAUUUAAGGAUUCCAUGAUGUGGACAUCUACUUUGAAGUUCCUUGUAUCUCUCCCAAGCUUCAUAGAGACACUCAUCAUCCCUUGGUCUGAAAGAAGUUAAUUCAUUUCUCAAUUUUGUAGUCUUGCUAGGAGGAAAGUAUUGAGCCAAGAAAGCUUGUGAUAACUCAUCCCAAGUAGUUAUUGAACCCGGAGAUAAUGAAUGUAACCAGUCCCUAGCACAAUCCUUCAAAGAAAAAGGAAAUAAUCUCAACCGGAUGGUAUCAUCUGAUAUUCCAUUUAUCUUCAACAUGUCACUAAUUUCAAGAAAAUGUGCGAGAUACACAUGUGGACUCUCAGUCGGACCUCCCCCAAACUGUGAUUGUUGAACCAUUUGACAAAGUGAAGGCUUGAACUCAAAAUUAUUCGCUUCCACUCUAGGCCUUGUAAUACUUGGUCUAAAAUCUUCAAAACUAGGAAAAGCAUGAUCCUUAAUUAAUCUGUUAUUGUUGUUUGCCAAGAGCAACAUCAAGAGCAACAAGUGAUAGAAGCUAUGGCAAACAACAACAAUAUAUCAAUUAAGGAUCAUGUUUUUCCUAGUUUUGAAGA